AAGCACUCUGUGUGGGGAACAUGAGAGCCAGACCAAAGCUCAGAGGAACCAGCCUGGACCUCCACCCAGAAGUGUGUCCUGUAAGAGUGACGUGUCUAAAGAUGACUUCAUUGAUUUCAAAGUCUCUGCUGCAGCGAGAGGUCAGAGGUCACAGUCUGCAGGAUCCAGCUGUCCGUCU